ACUACCCUAUUUCAAUCGUCCGUUUCCAACUUCCCGCCGCAAUUGUUCCUCUCGGGGACGUCAGGCAUGAGCAGGAGAUUGAGGGCUUUCAAGAGAUGGAUGAAAUCUCAUGGGAUCGCAUACAGCGAUGCCCUAGAGUUCGUCGAUUCCAUGGACGACGGCAUCUCCGUGCGAGCACUCUGCGAUCUAAAGGAAGGAGACCUUGUCGCCAGCAUCCCUAAGAUUUCCUGCCUCACCAUCCGGACCUCGGGGAUCUCUUCACUUUUAGAGGAGUGUGGCCUUUGCGGUUUCCUUGGCCUCUCUAUCGCGCUUAUGUACGAGAAGAGCCUUGGUUCUGCCUCGCCAUGGGAGGGAUACCUCCAGCUCUUGCCCGAGAGAGAAUGCAUUCCGCUUGUCUGGAGUUUGGAGGAGGUGGACAAGCUUCUGGUUGGGACCGAGCUCCAUAAGAUUGUAAAAGACGAUAAGAAAUUUCUCUUUGAGGAUUGGAAAGAAUACAUUGAACCUCUCAUUCAAUCAGGGCCUUCAGAGAUAGAUUCAGACAAUUUUGGCAUUGAGCAGUAUUUUUCUGCCAAAAGUCUCAUUGCUUCAAGAUCCUUUGAGAUUGAUAAAUAUCAUGGCUCUGGUAUGGUGCCAUUGGCUGAUCUGUUCAAUCACAAGACGGGGGCUGAGAAUGUUCACUUUACAUUAGCAUCUUCUUCCUCUAGUUCUGAUGAUGAUGUUGAAGGUGACAUUUUUGAUGCAUCUGAUGAUGAGAGGUCAUCUGUGAAAAACUCGACUAAUUCAUCAGGAAGUGAGCCUAUUGAAACUUUGGAAAUGAUCGUGGUGAAGGAGGUUGAGACAGGUUUUGAGGUCUACAACACUUAUGGGUCUAUGGGAAAUGCUGCAUUGCUUCAUAGAUAUGGAUUUACCGAACUUGAUAACCCUUAUAAUAUUGUUAACAUUGAUCUACAUCUGAUACUCAAAUGGCUUUCUUCUUUAUUCUCCAACCGUUAUGUUAGAACAAGACUAGGGUUGUGGAGGAAGUUGAAUUACUCAGGCUGCACCAGCCAGAAUUCUGAGUACUUUGAGAUAUCUUCUGAUGGUGAGCCUCAAAUGGAGCUGCUGAUUCUUUUGUACAUAUUUUUAUCAGAAAGCAUAUAUCAGAAACUAGACUCUGUAUUAGAUUCAUUCACUGAAGCUAAUGAAGCUGAUAAGCUAAUCAAGCUGUUGGGGUUAACUAAAACAGACUGUGAACACAAAUUAGAGGAUUUAAAGGAGGUAUUACUCAGAGAUAAUGUUUGCCAGGCUCUUAUAUCUUUAGCUGACAUUCGAGAGAGUUUGUAUGGUUUGAGUUCCUUGCAGGAGGACAUUAGCAAGCUCCAUGAUUGUUGCAGAUUGAUGGAGAGCAAGUUGUAUCACUCUUUAGUUCUGCGCGUGGGUGAGAGAAAAAUACUUGGAAAGUUAAGGGCAUAUGCUUGCAAACACUUAAGGGCGAUGAAAAGGCGGAGAGGCAGAAAAUCAUCACGAAGAUGCUGAGUUAUCUUCCAAAUUCUGCUGUGGAAUCUUAGGUACAGGCUUUCUAGUUUUGCUGAGACAGCAACAAGUUUGCUUCAACGACAAAAGAAUGAACUCAAACCCCUUGUUCAAGCCAAGAAAUACCCACAUCAGUAUCCACACCUCGUUCUCUCAUCACACUUUUUGUUGCUAAAGAAACUUUACUAGCAUCCAUGUACGUGUUAUAAAGUAGCAUAUAUGGUGCGGCUGCAUAAUGAUUUUUCAGUAGCUUCUCUCUGUCAUGCUCGCCUCUUUCAAUAUCACAUUGCAACUGACAAAUCUGCAACAAGGAUCUUCAUAUUAUUGGCUCUUUGUCAAAUCUCCAGGAAGUUAUGAAGUCCUUGGCAUCAUCCAACCUCCUCGCCAAAACAAAGGGUUUACAGUGUGAAUGCUGUUAUUAGCACUUGGAAUCAAGUCAAGUUCUUUCUUCAUCCUCUUGAAGUUCCUAUUAUUGUCGAAUAGUUCACCAAUAGCAUGGUAAGUAAGGGCCCGUUUGGGGGAAAUGAGCGGCGUCCCCCCGUGUAUCUCCCCUGUUUGGGGCGGAGGUUUGAUCGCGGAGGCCCCGACGCGUAGCGGAAAGCGGGCCGCCGGAUCCCUCCCGUGGUCCGCUUUUCCCACGAGCUUUCUCAUUUUUAAUACCUUACCUGCCCUGCCCCACCAUAAUGCCCCUCUCUCCCGAGCUCAUGAUUGCAAUUCCUCUUCUCAUCUUCUGCCCUGGAUAGCGUCCGACCAAACAAGCUUCUCUAUCGACUCUUCUGCCCUAGCGCUUGGAGAAAUAUCAGAUCUGCGAGAGGCAUCCGACUAGAGAAGGCCUCUGGAGCUUGUAUUCUCAGAUCAGUCUUUGAUCUCAGUCAUGAUCUCACAGUUCUUUGUCCUCUCUCAAAGAGGCCACAACAUCGCAAGGAUAGUGUUUGAAGUUUGGUUUUAUAAUUUCUCUGACAUUUCAAUGUAUUGCUGAGAUUGGUUCUGGAUUUGGCUAGAUAUUGACUGGAGUUGAUGUUACUCUCUAGUUAAUGUUACAAUUUUAGGGAACUUUCAGGGAUGAAUUUCUGCUGAUUUGAGGAUGCGGUGAUUCUUUCACCUGAUCAAUUUUUAUUUUGGCAUGAAGUUAG